CGGCGCGUAGCGCAGCCUGGUAGCGCACCGUCAUGGGGUGUCGGGGGUCGGAGGUUCAAAUCCUCUCGUGCCGACCA
rnacentral:tRNA from 2 species